CACGUAGGCACCAAGCGUUGUCCGGAUUUAUUGGGCGUAAAGAGCUCGUAGGCGGUUCAGUAAGUCGGGUGUGAAAACUCUGGGCUCAACCCAGAGAUGCCACCCGAUACUGCUGUGACUUGAGUACGGUAGGGGAGCAGGGAAUUCCUGGUGUAGCGGUGAAAUGCGCAGAUAUCAGGAAGAACACCCGUGGCGAAGGCGGCUCUCUGGGACGGUACUGACGCUGAGACGCGAAAGCGUGGGGAGCGAACAGG
rnacentral:rRNA from 1 species